rnacentral:rRNA from 1 species
UAGGGAAUCUUCGGCAAUGGACGAAAGUCUGACCGAGCAACGCCGCGUGAGUGAAGAAGGUUUUCGGAUCGUAAAACUCUGUUGUUAGAGAAGAACAAGGACGUUAGUAACUGAACGUCCCCUGACGGUAUCUAACCAGAAAGCCACGGCUAACUACGUGCCAGCAGCCGCGGUAAUACGUAGGUGGCAAGCGUUGUCCGGAUUUAUUGGGCGUAAAGCGAGCGCAGGCGGUUUCUUAAGUCUGAUGUGAAAGCCCCCGGCUCAACCGGGGAGGGUCAUUGGAAACUGGGAGACUUGAGCGCAGAAGAGGAGAGUGGAAUUCCAUGUGUAGCGGUGAAAUGCGUAGAUAUAUGGAGGAACACCAGUGGCGAAGGCGGCUCUCUGGUCUGUAACUGACGCUGAGGCUCGAAAGCGUGGGGAGCAAACAGG